rnacentral:tRNA from 1 species
UCCUCAGUAGCUCAGUGGUAGAGCGGUCGGCUGUUAACCGAUUGGUCGCAGGUUCGAAUCCUGCUGGGGAG